UACGAGGCUAAUGCACAAACUGGACUGAGGUCGUGCUCUGAUUGUAUCUAUGGCUCCCUAGAACAAACUUUGAUGACAAGGACUAAUUAAGUGAAAUCAUAAUGGACAGAGGUGAAGCAUGU